rnacentral:rRNA from 1 species
CAGUCGCCGCGGGAAUACGAAGGGGGCUAGCGUUGUUCGGAAUCACUGGGCGUAAAGGGUGCGUAGGCGGAUUCUUAAGUCAGGGGUGAAAUCCCGAGGCUCAACCUCGGAACUGCCUUUGAUACUGGGGAUCUUGAGUCCGGAAGAGGUGAGUGGAACUGCGAGUGUAGAGGUGAAAUUCGUAGAUAUUCGCAAGAACACCAGUGGCGAAGGCGGCUCACUGGUCCGGAACUGACGCUGAGGCACGACAGCGUGGGGAGCAAACAGGAUUAGAUACCCCUGUAGUCCCUUCUCUUAUACA